rnacentral:rRNA from 1 species
GAUGAACGCUGACGGCGUGCCUAAUACAUGCAAGUCGAGCGAACAGACGAGGAGCUUGCUCCUCUGACGUUAGCGGCGGACGGGUGAGUAACACGUGGAUAACCUACCUAUAAGACUGGGAUAACUUCGGGAAACCGGAGCUAAUACCGGAUAAUAUAUUGAACCGCAUGGUUCAAUAGUGAAAGACGGUUUUGCUGUCACUUAUAGAUGGAUCCGCGCCGCAUUAGCUAGUUGGUAAGGUAACGGCUUACCAAGGCAACGAUGCGUAGCCGACCUGAGAGGGUGAUCAGCCACACUGGAACUGAGACACGGUCCAGACUCCUACGAGAGGCAGCAGUAGGGAAUCUUCCGCAAUGGGCGAAAGCCUGACGGAGCAACGCCGCGUGAGUGAUGAAGGUCUUCGGAUCGUAAAACUCUGUUAUUAGGGAAGAACAAAUGUGUAAGUAACUAUGCCCGUCUUGACGGUACCUAAUCAGAAAGCCACGGCUAACUACGUG